AGAAGCUUGUGAUAGAGUUAAUUGAUGGGGAGAAAGGUAAGGAAAUGAAAAGGAAGGCAAUGGAAUGGAAGUCAAAGGCUGAAGCGACAACGGGUGUUAAUGGUUCAUCAUCCAAGAAUUUUGACAAACUUGUCGACGACGUGCUCCGCUUCCAAAAACCUUGAAUUACCUUCUUUUGAUGAAAUUGUUGUUACAUCUGCAGGUUGUCUGCCUUUAGCUUUUUUAUUGAUCAUCCAUGUUGUAACUCAUUUUUGGAUCCCUCAAAAAUAAAAAUGAAAUAAAUAGUAAAGGAGGGUAGAAAAAUAACAGAAGACAGAAGCAUUCAGAAAAUGGUUAGAAAAUUGGUCAAGGAGUAUAAAAAUACAAAGAUUUGAUUUUUUACAGUAUAUUCUUGAAGGAUGAGGGCCCUGUUUAGAAGGAAAAUUUAUUUUGAGGAGAAAAGCCCAAAUUUGGAUGUUUAUGGACUUAAUUAGAUUUUUAAUUGGAUUUAUAGGGGAUUUGAUUGCAAGAAAAAUUUAUUUUUAAGUCAAUUUGGGCUUUAAUUAGAAGAAAUUUAAGUUCUGGGGCCAAAAUAUAUUUUUUAGGAUUUUAUUGGGUCAAAUUAGGGGCUUAAUUGCAUAAAUAUUGAAGUUUAAUGGCCAAUUAGGGGCUUAAUUGUGAAAAUCCGAAACUAGGGACCAAUUUGGAAAAGGCGCAAAGAUAGAGGGGGCUGUUUGAAAUUGAUUCAGGGGUCUAAUUGAAGAAAUUGGAAGUUUAUUGAUCAAUUAAGGGCUAAAUUGCAUAAAUCAGAGGCCAAGGACCAAAGUAGAAAACGCGGCCAACUAUGGGGACGGGGACCGAAAUGGGCAGGGACGCAAUUGAAAGGAACAAAAAUAAUUGGGGGACUGAUGUGAACAUUGGCGCGUUUCUGGCGCCACAAUUGAAUGAAAUGGCGCGUUUUCUCCAAAACGACGCCGUUUCAUACAGUUUUUUUUUUUUUAAAAAAAAAAGACCAAACGGUGCCGUUUUGAACAGCACUGUUUCCCUUUCUUCUUCCCCCCCACAUGCGUAGCAAGGAAGAGGAAAACCGGGGUUUUUGUUCCCACCUCUCUCCUCACGUGCCCUGACCCGACGCUCCACUCCUUGGGACCACCGAAGCCGAAGCCAAUGGCCGACCGCCCGCCGCGCCACCGAAAUCGAGGGAAACCCACCUUGGCAGCGGCGCCUGCCGACCGCCCGACCAGCGCGCCCCACUCCCCAUGCAUUCAUGCCCCGGUAUCACUAUAAAUAGAGAAGAAACAGAGUAAACAGGGGACAGAGAGAAAAAGAGGAGAAGGAGGAGGAAAAAGAAAAAAAAAACCAAGACAAAAGGAGAGAGAGAGAGACCGAAGGAGAGAGAAACCACCGAAAUUAAGAAACAGCCACCGAAAACCCAAAGUGGAGAAGCUUGGGAUAGUUGAAAUCGAGAGUGAACUCAAGAAGCUGAAACAGAAGUAACGAACCGGGUGAACGACGACGAACCGUUGGAAAACAGCCGUAGCGCCGCCUGGAGCCGCCGUUCAUUCUUUUUUUUUUCUGUUGGGCCAGACAGGGUCUGGCCCAGCGAUAUGGGUAUGGGCCAGGGGGAUUCUGGCCCAGCCUGGCGGUCUGGGCCGGUCCGGCCCAGACCAAGGUAGGUUGUUGUUGGGCCGAGUCCGGCCCAACGAUUUUUAGGGCUGGAGUCCGGCCCAGUUAGUUGGGCCAGCCCAGCCCACUUAAUAUAUUAAUAUUAAAGUAUAUUAUAUUAAUAUAUUAUUAUAUUAUGCAUGUAUAUAUAUAUAUAUAUAUAUUUUUUAAAAAUAAAAAAAUAAAAAAUUUUCCGAAAAGUCUAAAAAAAAAAUAUUGUUGUUUUCUUUUCAUAUAUAUAUAUAUAAUAUAUUUUGUUUUUAUAUACAUUGGUUUGUAUUUUUUAUACUAUGGAGAUACAAAUUCAGUGUUUAAAACACCCAUUUUCGUAAAAAAAAAAAUGUUUUCUUGCGUGUUGCAUACGGCCAAUACUCUAACAUGUUUUGAAUGUUCUUUUUAUAUAAAAAAUAUUGGAAGCUUUGAAGGUGUGUUUUCGCAUAGAUUUCUUAAACACAAAUUAUUUUCUUGCAUUUCUGGAUUUUACAACAUGUUUGUAAAACUCCAAAGGGUAUUGGCCAAUAUUCCAAAAACUAUAAAAAUCUUAUUUUGGGAGGAGAAAUUUCAUUUAUUAUUCACCGCUAAUGUUUGGAUGAAGAAAUCUUUAAAAGGAUGAACAUCCAAAAUAUUAUUGGGAGUAAUAAAUCUGCACACAUGUUUGAAAGAAGCCUUGAUUAUAAUCGAGGACAUUUCAAAAUUUUAAUUUUUUUACUCCACGGUUUACGAGUCGUGAAAGUAUAAAAUUGUUUUUUUUUAAGAGUUGUGAAUUUUCUUAGAUUUCUUUUUUUUCCUUUUCCUUGCGAUUUACGAGUCGCCAAACUCUUGAAAUACUAAGGGAAAAAUGAGCUUUCAAAGCACAUGGAAUCUCCUUAUAUUUCUAUCCAAAAUAAAUUGACGGGAUUAAAAACACCAACACCAUAGACAUAUAGAGCAAACCAAACACCAAGCAGCUUACCUUAGGUAGGGCGUACUAGGGGUGCUAGUACCUUCCCUUUACGCAACCAGUCCCUUGCCUUAGAAUCUCUGAAAGACCAGUUAGGGUUCCUAGUGACCAAAAUACUAGGUGGCGACUCCAAAGAACCAAAUCAUUUAAAACAAAACGAAAGUCGCCAGUCGAAUGUCGCAAAACAAAAAAUGGAUUUUUUUUUUUGGUGCGACAGAAUGGCGACUCCACUGGGGACCCUUGGACUAAGCUUGAUUUUUUUGUUUGUUUAUGCUAUGUGUUAUUGGUUUUUGUUUUCUUAUUGCUUUGUUUAAAAGCUUUAGCAUACAUCUUUACAUUCUAUCAUACAUGGCAUGGUCAUGCAUCACUUUAUUAUUGUUAUUAUGUUUUGAGGGCACACACAUGUAACUUUAAGAUUAAGUGGGGGACUAGCAGCUUGCCUUAUGACUUGAGUCAAGGUUUAAGUUUGUGUAAACCCCAACUCUUUGCUGAGUGUUUAGACUGAUUGUGAUUGGUACACGUGCCAUCCCACUAUCUGCUGGACCUCCAUAUCGCCUUUACGAGGGUGGUCACUGGAACAGCAAGAGACCCUCUUUUAGAGACCUAGUAGUAAACCUACCCUAUGUCUCACGUAAAAGAACUAGAACCUAUCCUUAGGGUGUAUGUUCCGAUAUAUUUUGCAUCAAAACAAGACUAAACCCCCAUGCAUUUUGAAUUGCAGGAUUUGUGAACGAAAUGACCAUCAUAAAUCUUCCAUCGUAGAGUAUGGAAAGAAUUCUGAACUGUCACAAUUGACUGAAGGAGACUGCCUUAGAAGCGAUGCUAAGAAGAUGUCACCAAUCAAGAACCUGAAUUGCAUAUUGAAUGAGGUGAACAAGUUAACGACUCAUUUUCAGAAUGUGGAUAAAGAUGCAUUUUUUAGGAAAUACGGACGUUUGAUGGAAAUCGCAAAGGUAGAAGUUUUAAGCCCAGCUGUGCGAGCCUUAGUUCAUUUUUGGGAUCCAGACUACCGAUGUUUCUCCUUUGGAAGCAUAGACUUGUGCCCCACGAUUGAGGAAUAUGGAUUGUUGACCGAGUUUCCCAACGACCUGUAUCGGAUUUAUUCUCCUUUGAGGUCCGACAAGAUCAUCCCUGAGCUGUCAAAACUGCUCAGAAUCUCCAACUUGGAAAAGUUUCUGGAAAAGAAUGGUACCGGUUUGAAAUGGAGGAUGCUAGAGUUGGAAAAGAAGUCAGGAGUAGAAAAAGAGAGAUUGAUUGCCUUAGGUAUAUUUGGCCUUGUGUUGUUCCCAAGUCAGACUGGUUUAGUAAGUUUGGAGGCCGCUGCUGCUUAUGUGGAGUAUGAGAACACACAGAUCAAUCCAGUGGUUGCUAUUUUAGCCGAAACAUUUUUGACACUUAACCAUUGUAGGAGGGCUGGAAAAGGAGCAAUGAGAUGCUGCACGCAACUGUUGUAUAUUUGGAUGGUUAGCCAUAUCGAAACAAAGAAACCUGUCUUCAAUAAUUUUUGGUGGUUCACCCAAAAACCCCUAAAGUUAGUAGAAGAAGAAGAAUGGGGAGAUCUAGACAACCAGGGUUGGGUUGAUAAAUUAGAAGGUUUACCUAAUAGCGAUUUUAAAUGGAGAGCCCCAUGGGUAACGACAGUGAAGGUCCUAAUGAGUUGUGGACAAAGGCGUUGGGUACCCUUGGUGGGGAUUACGGGUUAUGUGAGUUAUGCUCCGGCUUUAGUGGUAAGACAACUUGGGGGCAUGCAGUUUGUUCCCAGUGACGGGGCAGCACUUUGCACCUGCCAUUCCCAUUCAGCCCCCUCAAGCUCACGUCACUGUAGAUUUAACAGCUGAGGGGCCCUCUGAUAAUAGGUCCAAUGGUUUUAUGAACGAUGACAAGAUAUCAGCUUUGCAAGAAAGGUUAAGAGCAGUCGAGGGAAAUAACUGGUUUGACCCCAUGCGAGCAUCGGAAAUAUGCUUGGUACCAAACAUCACAGUACCAAAAGAUUUUAGGAUACCAGAGUUUAUAAGGUACACUGGGUUGGAAUGCCCAAACACUCACCUUCGAUCUUAUUACAAUAAGAUGGUUGAGGUGAUUCAUGACGAUAAGUUACUGAUCUACUUUUUCCAAGACAGUCUAUCAGGGUCUGCGCUAAGUUGGUACAUGAGGCUGGAUAAUGCCAAGAUUAAGAAAUGGAAGGAUUUAGUGGAGGCUUUCCUGAAGCAAUACAAGUUCAAUUUGGAAAUUGCUCCAGAUCGAACGAGCCUUAUGUCAAUGGAAAAGAGAAGCCAAGAGUCAGUGAGGGCUUAUGUUCAACCCCCUUUGAUAGAAAUGGAGAUGGUGACUUUGUUCGCCAAUACCUUCAAGGCACCCUACUAUGAGCAUUUAAUGGGUAGCUCAUCUCAACAUUUCUAUGAUGUUGUACGUGUGGCGGAAAGGAUAGAGCAAGGAAUUAAAGCUGGGCGCAUAGCGGAGCCUUUAGAGAAGAAAGGUUUUAUUGGAAGGAAAAGAGAAGGGGACGUUAACAAUUUGGAAGGCGGGUACAAAGGCAAAAAAGUAAAUAUCCACAGUCCACAAGCACCUACCUCUCAAUUCUCACGCAUAAACUUUAACCAACCUUUUUCACCUAAUCGAACAAAUAACCAACCAAACUACCAAAAUCACUACCAAAGACCCCACAAAGGAUACACUUCAAAACAACUGUCGUCGUUACCCAUGCCUUUGAAGGACAUGUAUGCCAAACUUUUGAGCAUUGGACAAAUAGCUCCUAUCCCUACACUACCACUACAACCAACAUUCCCAAUUUGGUACAAGCCCGAUUUGACUUACGAGUACCAUGGGGGUAAUCCCGGGCAUGGGAUUGAAACCUGCUAUGCAUUCAAGAAGAGGUUAUUGGAACUUAUUAAGUUAGGAUGGGUAUCCUUCGAAGACAAGCCCAAUGUUAAUUCAAACCCAUUGCCUAAACAUGUUCCAAACAGUGGCGGAAUAGGCAUGAUCGAAGUGGGAAAUCAAUGCAAGGUGUUGAAGGUGCCGAUGAAAAGGUUGUACGACAUGUUAGUACAAUCAGGAUUUCUAGCGGCGAAGGGAGUAAGCCAAUUGGAGAGAAGUGACUACUGUGAGUUCCAUGGAAGAGAUGGACAUCACAUUGAGGAUUGCACCGAGUUUUGUGGAAAGAUCGCUAAAAUGUUGAGGAUGGGACAAUUGAGGAUUGAACCCAUGGAGAGCAGGUGUGAAGUAAGUAUGAUGGAAGGUCAAGAUAAGAUGGCAGGAGUUUGCAGGGUUCAACAGACUGCUAAUGGGCCCCCAAGGCUGAUCUUGGUUAAACCGUCCUGCACAAAAGAGAAUCACAAUGCCAUGCCGUACAAUUAUGGGUAUGCCUCCAACGUUUGAGCUCCUCUUCCUUUGUUCCAGACGGAGAUAAGUGGUUUGACCAGAAGUGGUCGUUGCUUUACGCCUGAAGAAAUGGAGGAAGGAAAAGGGUAAAUAAGUGGUAGAUCUGGACAAAGCACCAGAAGUUAAUAAACCAGUAACGGAAGAGGAGUCGAAUGAAUUUUUGAAGUUGAUCAAGCAUAGCGAAUAUUGCAUAGUGGAUCAACUAAAAAAGACUCCAGCUCGGAUCUCCCUUAUGUCCUUGAUACUCAGCUCUGAGCCGCAUCGAAGUGCCUUGCAAAAGGUAUUAAAUGAGGCAUAUGUACCCCAGGAAAUUGAGCAUAAAACUAUGGAGCAUUUAGUGGGGAGGAUCCAUGCAACUAAUUACCUCUACUUCACGGCUGAUGAGCUUGAUGCUGAAGGUACCGGACACAACAAGCCUUUAUACAUUACGGUUAGGUGCAAAGACUGCCUCGUAGGGAAGGUGCUCGUUGAUAAUGGCUCGGCCCUGAACGUAUUGCCAAAGCACAUUCUGGAGGAAAUGCGAUUGAUGAAUCUCAUAUGAAGCCAAGUACUAUGAUGGCAGAGCAUAUGAUGGCUCACCUAGGCCAAUACUUGGGACUUUAGAAGUGGAGCUAUAUGUGGGACCGCAAAUGUUCCUAGUGACACUUCAGGUUAUGGAUAUUCACCCUUCCUAUAGUAUGUUGUUGGGAAGACCUUGGAUCCACGCAGCGGGGGCAGUAGCUUCAUCAUUACACCAAUGUCUGAAGUACAUCAUGAAUGGGAUGUUAGUAACCGUCAGGGCUGAGGAGGCAAUAGCCAUGACAAAGAAUGUGGCUGUGCCUUUCAUCGAAGCGGAGGAUUGCAAGGAUAACAAUAUCCAUGCUUUUGAGAUCGUGAAACACUGACUGGGUACCAGAGAACACCGUGCUAAGAAGGCCAAGGAUCUCAGAAGCAGCAAGGAUGGCAAGUCUAUGUUUCUUGAACCGUGGGGUCCCACGUCGAUAUAACCUCGCUUGCGGAAUACCAGAAGGGGCUAAUCCGACAAGGAAGAGAAAGCUGAUCAAAGAUUUGGGCUAGGAUAUCAACCUAACCAAGAGGAUUAUCGUUGGGCUGCUGAUCGGAGAAGGACAAGAAGGAUGGCUAGAAUUAAAGGAAGAGAUCUUGAAGAAGAACAGCUGGAAAUACCUCCCCUUAGCGUAUCAUUCCCAAGAGCUGCAUACAUAGUGCAACAUGAUAAGGGAGCUGAAAGCCUGGGUCUAGAGCUGGCAAAUAUGAGCAUAAACACCUUGGAGGGAAGGAAGGAGAAGGAAAAAGGUGAUGCGAAAGAAAUAGCGGGAAAAGAAGAUGAAGUGCUGCCACAACUGACAAUCCAUACACUAGAAGAAGUCUCCGCCAAGACCUUUGUGCGCAAGUUGGCUCAAGGUGAAAAGUUUUAGAAUUGGGUGACCCAAGAAGCUCCAGUGGUUUUCAAAAUGAAUCCUGAAAGCGGAUCUCCUACAACAUCACAUACAUUUAGCAUCAAGAAUAAAUGGCCAAACUUGAACGAGCAUGUAAUAGCUAUGGAAGAAGAAGAGUGGGAUGAAAGCAAUAUCAGUGAAUUCACCAGGCUAGUAGAACAACAGGAACAGACUUGGAAGCCUGCCGCCGAGGAACUCGAAACCAUCAAUGUGGGCAAUGGUCAGCUCAAGAAAGAGUUGAAAAUAGGUACCUUAAUUACUUCUGAACAAAGGAUAAAAAUGAUCACCCUAUUACAAGAAUAUUCAGAUGUCUUUGCUUGGUCCUAUGAAGAUAUGCCCGGUUUGGAUACAAGUAUUGUAGAACACAAGAUACCGUUGGAAGAAGGUUAUAAGCCAGUCAAGCAGAAACUGAGGAGGGCCCACCCGGACGUCUGGAUCAAGGUCAAGGCAGAACUCGAAAAGCAAUGGGAUGCUGGCUUUCUAGAAGUAGUUAGAUAUCCACAAUGGGUAUCUAACAUUGUUGUGGUGCCUAAGAAGGAAGGGAAGAUUAGAGUUUGUGUGGAUUUUCGGAAUUUGAAUAGAGCUAGCCCUAAGGAUGAUUUUCCUCUACCACACAUAGAUGUUUUAGUGGAUAAUGCUGCCCGAAGUUCCACUUAUUCCUUUAUGGAUGGUUUUUCAGGAUACAACCAAAUAAAAAUGGCUUCAGAGGAUAAGGCGAAAACAACUUUUGUCACACCUUGGGGGACCUACUGCUACAAGGUCAUGCCAUUUGGGUUAAAGAACGCAGGUGCAACAUAUCAAAGAGCAAUGGUGACUCUAUUCCACGACAUGAUGCACAAAGAAAUUGAGGUGUAUGUAGAUGAUAUGAUUGCCAAGUCUAAAAAGGGACAGAUCAUGUGGAAGUUUUGAGGAAGUUAUUUGAGAGGUUGAGGAAGUAUGAACUAAGGCUUAAUCCUGCAAAAUGUUCAUUCGGAGUUAAAUCGGGCAAGCUGUUGGGAUUUGUGGUAAGUGAUAGAGGUAUAGAGGUGGAUCCAGAUAAAGUAAGGGCCAUUCAGCUAUGUCAUCCCCUAAGACGGAGAAAGAAGUAAGAGGAUUCUUGGGAAGGUUGAAUUACAUUGCUCGUUUAUAGCUCAGCUAACAACAACAUGCGAGCCUAUAUUCCGACUACUAAGGAAAAAGAAUCCUGGAACCUGGAAUGAGGAGUGUGAGGAGGCAUUCAAUAAAAUCAAGCAUUAUUUACAAAAUCCACCUUUACUGGUUCCUCCUGUAUCAGGAAAACCUCUAGUAUUAUAUCUAACCGUAACUGAAGUAGCCAUGGGAUGUGUAUUGGGUCAGCAUGAUGAAACCGGAAGGAAGGAAAGAGCUAUUUAUUACUUGAGUAAGAAAUUCACUGAAUGUGAGUCCAGAUACACGGAGAUAGAAAGGCUUUGUUGUGUGUUGGUGUGGGCGGCAAAGAGGUUGCGACAUUACAUGUUAUACUAUACCACUUGGUUGAUUUCAAAAUUGGAUCCCCUGAGGUAUAUUUGUAAUAAGCCUUUUUCUCUCAAGUCGAAUUUCAAGAAGUUGAAUUGCAAGGUGGCAGGUUUUAUUAGCAGAAUAUGACAUAGUGUACAUGACAAGGAAAGCCGUAAAAGGGAGUGCAAUCGCAGACCAUCUGGCCGAUAAUGCUGUUGAAGAUUACGAACCUUUGGAUUUUGAUUUCCCUGAUGAAGAUAUAUUGUCAAUAGAAAAGGAAGAAGAGAAGACAGAUUGGUGGACCAUGUUUUUUGACGGGGCAGUAAAUGUAUAUGGUAACGGGGCAGGGGCGGUAAUAAUCUCUCCUAAUAAGAAACAAUACCCAGUUUCGGUCAAACUACAUUUCGAGUGCACCAACAAUACAGCUGAGUAUGAAGCUUGUAUACUCGGUUUAGAAGCAGCAUUGGAGUUAAAGAUAAAGAAGAUAGAUGUAUAUGGGGAUUCAAUGUUGAUCAUCUGCCAGGUCAAAGGGGAAUGGCAAACCAAAGAGGAAAAGUUGAGGCCGUACCAGGAAUACCUAUCCAUGCUAGCAAAGGAAUUUGAAGAAAUUAGAUUCACCCAUCUGGGAAGGGAGGGGAACCAUUUUGCGGAUGCUUUGGCCACACUAGCUGCUAUGACUACCAUUGACCUCAAGUGCAAGGUACAACCGGUACACAUUGAUAUUAGAAAUGAUCCAGCUCACUGUUGUUUAGUUGAAGGAGAGAUGGACGGACAACCUUGGUAUUACGAUAUCAAGAAUCUUGUGCAGAAUCAGGAAUAUCCGGUGGGAGCUUCUAAAACGGAUAAGAAAACCUUGAGAAGGUUGGCUAUAGACUUCUAUUUAGAUGGAGAGAUUUUAUAUAAAAGAUCAUUUGAUGGAACCCUGUUAAGGUGUUUGGAUGAGGCAGAUGCUAGAAAGGCAUUAAGAGAGGUCCAUGAGGGGAUUUGCUCAACCCAUGCUAGCGGGCAUAUGAUGGCAAGGAAAAUCCAAAGGGCUGGUUAUUUUUGGAUGACACUAGAAAAAGAUUGUAUCGACUAUGUCAGAAAAUGUCACAAAUGUCAAAUUUACAGUGACAAGGUCAAUAUGCCACCAGCUCCUCUGUUUAACUUAACAUCUCCAUGGCCCUUCGCGAUGUGGGGAAUUGAUGUGAUUGGACCUGUAAACCCAAAAGCGAGCAAUGGUCAUAGAUUUAUCCUCGUGGCUAUUGACUACUUCACAAAAUGGGUAGAAGCCGGGUCAUUUGCUCAUGUGACACAAAAAGUGGUGAAGAAAUUUAUUGAGAGAGAUUUGAUAUGUCGGUAUGGUCCACCAGAAAAGAUUAUAACUGAUAAUGCCCAGAAUUUCAACGGCAAGAUGAUAAUAGAGCUCUGCACUAAAUGGAAAAUCAAGCAUUCCAAUUCUUCGCCAUAUAGACCAAAGAUGAAUGGGGCGGUAGAAGCUGCUAACAAGAAUGUCAAAAAGAUUAUUCAGAAGAUGGUAGUCACCUAUAAGGAUUGGCAUGAGAUGUUGCCAUUUGCCCUUCAUGCAUAUCGCACCGCAGUUCGAACCUCGACAGGGACUACCCCAUAUUCUUUGGUGUACGGUAUGGAGGCAGUGAUGCCUUUGGAAGUGGAAAUCCCGUCGUUAAGAGUGUUAAUAGAUUCUGAGUUAGAAGAGGCCGAGUGGGCCAGAGUGAGACACGAGCAACUGAACCUGAUCAGUGAAAAGAGGAUGGCCGCAAUAUGUCAUCACCAACUUUACCAGAAACGAAUGGCUAAGGCGUAUGAUAAGAAGGUUAGACCGCGGUUGUUUCAAGAAGGGGAUCUAGUAUUGAAGAAAAUAUUGUCAUUACCCGGAGAUGAUCAAAGCAAAUGGGCACCAAAUUAUGAGGGUCCUUAUGUAGUAACAAAGGCAUUCUCAGGAGGAGCGUUGAAGUUAGCUAGAAUGGAUGGAGAAGACCUAGCUCGACCUGUGAAUUCUGACUCUGUAAAAAGAUAUUAUGCUUGAUGUAGGCCCCUAAAUCAAUAAAGCAAAGUUUGGCCAUUGAUUUCUUUCCUUUUGUGCAUUGAUCUCACAACAAUCAUUUUUGCAUUAAUCCCAACAGUGCAUCUCAUCACUCAUUAAAAAGUUUAGCAUCGACUGAACGAAUUUCUUCUCUAUAUAAAAGCUCAAACUAGGAUCACACCCCUACACUGGGGGCAAUACAAGAUGUUUUUAUGAAAAGUUUUACGGAAGCCUAUAGAUUUGAAAACCAAGCUAAAGCAUUUGACAAAAGCAUGACAAAAAGGCAAUAACAAGUCUUACAUUUUGAGAAAAGGACUACUUGAGGAAAGUCAAAGACUUCUUCUCCAAGAAUAUGAUAAGUAAAAAAGGCAACACGAGAGAUGAAUCCAGCAUACGACUUCAAAAGCAAGCUCAUGUUACGAGAGAGUCUCAUGAACUAGAAAAGAGGAUGGGGCCUAUGUUUCAAAACCAGGUACGAAUGCAUGCAUUGCAUCUAAUCAUAAAUCAUUGCAUGUAUGUUUUUUAUCGUUACAGGAGGAGAUCUUAGUGCAUUCCAACAAGAUUGUGGACGAAGAAAGAAUCAUUGAGUUGAUUCUAGAACAACAAGAAGAGAAGAUAAUAUUUUUCAAAUCCUGCCAGCAGGAAGAACGACAUCGAUAGCAAUGGUAAAAGGGAAUCGUCAGAUGGGAUUCCAAGUUGUUUGGUUAAAAGAGAUCGCCAGAAGGGAUCUCGUAUUUCGAUGAAGGUCGCCAGAAGGGACUUCAUAUUUCAGCUUUGAAUAAAAGGAAUCGCCAGAUGGGAUUCCAAGUUGUUUGAGAUCGCCAGAAGGGAUCUCGUGUUUCACUAUUUGGAGGUCGCCAGAUGGGACCUCGUAUUUCAUGUUGGUUAAAAGGAAUCGCCAGAUGGGAUUCCAAGUUGUUUGAGAUCGCCAGAAGGGAUCUCGUUUCACUAUUUGGAGGUCGCCAGAUGGGACCUCAUAUGUCAUGUUGGUAAUAAGGAAACGCCAGAUGGGAUUCCAAGUUGUUUGAGAUCGCCAGAAGGGAUCUCGUAUGUCACUAUGUUGGAGGUCGCUAGAUGGGACCUCAUAUUCCAUGUUUGUUAAAAGGAAUCGCCAGAUGGGAUUCCAAGUUGCUUAAAGGAGAUCGCCAGAAGGGAUCUCGUGUUUCACUAUUUGGAGGUCGUCGGAUGGGACCUCGUAUAAUCCGAAACCAGGGACCAAUUUGAAAAAGGCCCAAAGAUAGAGGGGGCUGUUUGGAAUUGAUUCAGGGGUCUAAUUGAAGAAAUUGGAAGUUUAUUGAUCAAUUAACGGCUCAAUUGCAUAAAUCAGAAGCCAAGGACCAAAGUAGAAAACGCGGUCAACUAUGGGGACGGGGACCGAAAUGGGCAGGGACGCAAUUGAAAGGAACAAAAAUAAUUGGGGGACUGAUGUGAACAUUGGCGCGUUUCUGGCACCACAUUUGAAUGAAACGGCGCGUUUUCUCCAAAACGAUGCCGUUUCAUACAUUUUUUUUUUUUUUAAAAAAAAAGAGCAAACGGUGCCGUUUUGAACGGCACUGUUUCCCUUUCUUCUUCCCCCCCGCAUGCGUAGCAGGGAAGAGGAAAACCGGGGUUUUUGUUCCCGCCUCUCUCCUCACGUGCCCUGACCCGACGCUCCACUCCUUGGGACCACCGAAGCCGAAGCCAAUGGCCGACCGCCCGCCGCGCCACCGAAACCGAGGGAAACCCACCUUGGCAGCGGCGCCUGCCGACCAGCGCGCCCCACUCCCUAUGCAGCCAUGCCCCGGUAUCACUACAAAUAGAGAAGAAACAGAGUAAACAGGGGACAGAGAGAAAAAGAGGAGAAGGAGGAGGAAAAAGAAAGAAAAAACCAAGACAAAAGGAGAGAGAGAGAGACCGAAGGAGAGAGAACCCACCGAACUUAAGAAACAACCACCGAAAACUCAAAGUGGAGAAGCUUGGGAUAGUUGAAACCGAGAGGGAACUCAAGAAGCUAAAACAGAAGUAACGAAUCGGGUGAACGACGACGAACAGUUGGAAAACAUCCGUAGCGCCGCCUGGAGACGCCGUCCGUGCGCCACGACACCACAGCACCGUCAGCAAGCCAUCGUCUCCGCCGCGCCAGGUACAUCUCCUCCCCCUGCACAUUUUCUUGUUAAUCCGGGCGCAAGUUUUUGCCUCCUGCAUGCAGAAUCGUUUCUGCAUGCAGGAGGCGGGGGGGGAAAUAAUCCCCCCCCGUUCAUUCUUUUUUUUUUUUCUGUUGGGCCAGACAGGGUCUGGCCCAGUGAUAUGGGUAUGGGCCAGGGGGAUUCUGGCCCAGCCCGGCGGUCUGGGCGGGUCCGGCCCAGACCAAGGUAGGUUGUUGUUGGGCCGAGUUCGGCCCAACGAUUUUUGGGGCUGGAGUCCGGCCCAGCCCACUUAAUAUAUUAAUAUUAAAGUAUAUUAUAUUAAUAUAUUAUUAUAUUAUGCAUGUAUAUAUAUAUAUUUUUUAAAAAAAAAUUAAACAAAAAUAAAAAAAUUUCCGAAAAGUCUAAAAAAAAAAUAUUGUUGUUUUCUUUUCAUAUAUAUAUAUAUUUGUUUUUAUAUACAUUGGUUCGUAUUUUUUAUACUAUGGAGAUACAAAUUCAGUGUUUAAAAUACCCGUUUUCGUAAAAAAAAAAUGUUUUCUUGCGUGUUGCAUACCGCCAAUACUCUAACAUGUUUUGAAUGUUCCUUUUAUAUACAAAAAAUAUUGGAAGUUUUGAAAAUGUGUUUUCGCAUAGAUUUCUUAAACACAAAUUAUUUUCUUGCAUUUCUGGAUUUUACAACAUGUUUGUAAAACUCCAAAGGGUGUUGGUCAAUAUUCCAAAAACUAUAAAAAUCUUAUUUUGGGAGGAGAAAUUUCAUUUAUUAUUCACCGCUAAUGUUUGGAUGAAGAAAUCUUUAAAAAGAUGAACAUCCAAAAUAUUAUUGGGAGUAAUAAAUCUGCACACAUGUUUGAAAGAAGCCUGGAUUAUAAUCGAGGACAUUUCAAAAUUUUAAUUUUUUUUACUCCACGGUUUACGAGUCGUGAAAGUAUAAAAUUGUUUUUUUUUAAGAGUUGUGAAUUUUCUUAGAUUUCUUUUUUCUCUUUCCUUUUCCUUGCGAUUUACGAGUCGCAAACUCUUGAAAUACUAAGGGAAAAAUGAGCUUUCAAAGCACAUGGAAUCUCCUUAGAUUUCUAUUCAGAAUAAAUUGACGGGAUUAGAAAACAACAACACCAUAGAUCAUAGAGCAAACCAAACACCAAGCAGCUUACCUUAGGUAGGGCGUACUAGGGGUGCUAGUACCUUCCCUUUACGCAACCAGUCUCUUGCCUUAGAAUCUCUGAAAGACCAGUUACGGUUCCUAGUGACAAAAAAAAUACUAGGUGGCGACUCCAAAGAACCAAAUCAUUUAAAACAAAACGAAAGUCGCCAGUCGAAUGUCGCAAAACAAAAAUUAGAUUUUUUUUUUUGGGUGCGACAAUCCAUAUUAGAGAGAUAUCCUCUGCUGAUUGUGUAACUGAAGAGAGAUUUACUCUUCUCAAUCAAAACUGAUUGAGUAACCGAAGAUCAGUUUUAAUUCUUAGUAAUUAUAGUUUUUAAUGCUAUUUAUAAUUCUUGUAACAGUCAAACAAAUUCUGCUAUAUAUAUAGCUGUUUAUUGUAAACUGAAUCAAUAAGAAAAACUAUUUUCUACAUGGUAUCAUCCUAAACGUACGAUCCUCACCUAUUUCUCUUCUUUUAGCGUUUCUCUUCCUUUUUCCUUUUUCUUUCUCAUGGCCACCAUCUCUUCGACUCUCUCUCAAAAUACUGCUCAAUUCACCAAACUUACUGAAACCAAUUAUCUCACUUGGCUUCGGCAAAUCAAACCUUAUCUUCAUGGUGCCAACCUUUGGGGAUAUGUUGAUGGCACCAUUCCUGAACCAUCUCUCACCAUCCUGAAUACUGCUUCUGCUUCUACUUCUGACACUCAAUCUGCAAGAUCCAUUUCUAAUCCUGAUCAUGCUAGUUGGUUCAUCAUCGACCAACAAAUUGUUAGCAUCCUCACCACCACUCUAACAGAAAACAUUGCACAACUUACCAUUGGUUUCGACACAUCAAAGGCAAUUUGGGACUGUCUUGAACGUCACUUUUCCCAAAAUUUUGUAGCAAGUGCAACCAAUCUCAAAAUGCAACUUCUUGAUCUCAAUAAAGGUACUCAAUAUGUUGAUACUUAUCUUCGUCAUGCUAAAUCAAUUGUUGAUGCAUUGAUUUCUAUUAAUAAGCUUGUUCCUGAUGAGGAUUUGGUCAUCACCACUCUUCAUGGUCUUGGCCCUGAUUAUCUCAUGCUUCGUACUGCCCUCUGCUCCUAGAUUUCACUGAAUUUCGGGCUCGAAUUCUCUCUUUUGAUGCUCAACUAUCUCGUCCUGUUAAUUCUCCUACAACCAUCACUCUUUUCAAUCACACUCAUGCUCCCUCUACCCGUCGUGAUUACCGCCCUAAUACUGGUCAUCAAUUCCCCACCAAUGGUCGUCCUAACAAUGGUCGCUUUAAAAGUGGUUGCUAUUCUCAACAGCGCGCCACUCGACAGUCACAAGUUGGGUUUUCAUUUCCUAUGCAACAGCAACAUGUGCCUCCAUCAGGGCCAUUUACUUCACCAGCUUGGGCUACUCGUCCUCCACCAAAUGGUAUUCUUGGCCCAGAACCUCAAUGGUGUCCAAAUUGUCACUCAAGUCACCAUGGACUUUGUCGCACGUGUGCGACGGCGCGGCGAUCGUCCACCCUCAAGGAAAAAAUCGGAAAUAUUUAUUCCUGGCAAAAUAAGGAGAGACAAGGAAUUCUUGUCUCUACAAGUGAAAAUAUGGAUUGGGAGUCGCCACCUAGUAUUCUGGUUACUAGAAACCUUAACUGGUCUUUAGAGAUCGAGUACGGAGACUGGUUGCGUAAAGGGAAGGUAUUAGCACCCCAACUACGCCCUACCUAAGGUAGGCUGCAUUGUUUUAAAUGUCUGAUAAAAUCUAAAAUCAUGUUGUGGUUUUUGAAUUGUUGGUUCGUGUACGGUUUAAGAAAAGUCCUCCUCCGUAAGGAGAUCCUUAUCUUCAUCGGGUAAAAAACUAACUAUUCGAAGUCAUCAAAAGAAAAUAUCUUUUUAAUAUCAGGAAUACGAUUUACGUAUAAAUUCAUAAUCCUUGAUACUAAAAUCAAACAAAAUAAAAUAUUUUGUUGUUUUUGAGAUUUUGGCCAAUGUUCUCUUGACUUUAAUAAACUGGUUAUUAAAGCCAAAAUGCAUGCUAAAAUAUUGUUUUUUUGACAUAUGAAAAAUACGAUAUGAUUUUUAGAUUUGAGACACUUGGCCGUAUGCACAAAAAUGUUUUUUUUAAUUUUUUUGUAUUUUUGGAAGUUUGUGACAAAAACCGGGUAUUUUAAUACCCGAUUUGUAUUUUUACGACAUAAAAAUACUACCCGAUAUUAAUAAAAAUAACAUAAAUAAAAAAUGGAACAUCAUAAAUAUUUUUUAAAACAAUAAUAUUUUUUUUUUUUUUAUGGGCCGGAUCAGGCCCAAUUGCAUGGGCUGGGCCAAACCUGGCCCUUUUACAUGGGCUGGGCCGAACAUGGCCCAAAUGCAUGGGCUGGUUACUGUGCACAUAGUAACCGGGUUACUGUGUGCACAGUAACCAGAGAAUUAAUCUGCGGGUUACUGUGCACAUGCACAGUAACCGUGAAUUAAUUAGCGAGUUACUGUGCACAGCACAGUAACUCGCUAAUUAAUCUGCAUGCAGAACAAAAAAAACGACGGAAACGCUACCUGCGGUGGUGAUGUUCGACUUUCUUCUCUGCUUCUUCUUCUUCUGCUUUCUUCUCUCUGUCUCUUCUCUUCUUUCUCUCUCUUCUUCUCUUUUUUUUUUUUUUUUUCAGUGCCCCUCCCCUGUUUUUAUAGGCAAAAACAGGGGGGCGGUGUCGUGGUGGGGCGGCCACUGUCGGCCGCCCCUCCACUAUCAACUCAGAAGGAUAACAAGGAGGAGACAAGUGGGUGAUUGCGGGCGUCUUAUUGCGCGAAAAACGGGAAAGAAAUUAGGCGAAAAGGGGAAGAAAAAAUCUUCUUCUUCCCCUGCCUCGCGCGUCCAGGGGAAGAAGAAGAGCUACAGUGCCGUCAAAACGGCACUGUUUUGGGCUUCUGUUUUUUUUUUUUUUUUUUUUUUUAGCAACAGUGAAUGAAACGGCGCCGUUUUGGUCAAAACGCGCCGUUUCAUUUAAAAGGAAAAGGCGCCAAAAGCAUCAGAUUCAAAUUUCGGCCCUCAUUUGCGCGCGUUUUACAAUUUAGUCCUUGGUCUCGGAUUUCUUCAAUUAAGUCCCUAAUUGGCCAUUAAACUUCAAUAUUUAUGCAAUUAAGCCCCUGAUUUGACCAAAUUAACUUCCAAAAAUUAUAAUUUGACCCCAGAAAAUUAAUUUCUUCUAAUUAAAGCCCAAAUUAACUCCAAAAUCAAUUUUUUUGCAAUUAAAACUCAUAAAUUCAAUUAAACCUUCAAUAAAAUUUAAUUGAGUCCAUAAACUUCUGAUUUUGCAUUUUUCUUCCUCAAAUUGAAUUUUCUUUAUCAUCGGGGCUCUCAUCAGUCAAUGAUAUACUGUCAAAAAUUAAUUUUUGAUUUUUGAACAUCCUCAAUCAAUUUUUGAGCAUUUUUAGGGCGCUCUGGCAUUUUUUCACUGUUAUAUUUUUUGAUAAUAUAUUUUUUAUAAUUUUAUUAUUUUUUAUGUGGGGACCCAGAAAUGGGUUACAACAGACUUUCUCAAUGUCCACAUAGAUUUUUUGGUCCAAACACUGCCACUCCAUUUGCUGGUGUACAUUAUGUUGCUGAUCCAAAUUGGUACCCAGACACAGGUGCAACUCAUCACAUGACAGCCAUGCCCAUCAAUAAUUCUCAAUCUUAUGGUGGGCCGUAUAAUGUCUAUAUGGGUAAUGGGGACUCAAUGUUUGUUUCCCAUACUGGUAACCUUCCCUUUUCAUUAGGCUCUUCUACCUUCACUCUACAAAAUGUCUUUCGUAUUCCAUUUAUUCGUAAAAAUCUUCUAUAUGUUGCUCGUUUCACUAAAGAUAAUCAUGUUUUCUUUCUCUUUGCACCUGACUUCUAUCAAAUCUAUUGCUUACGCACUGGAUGUCUAUUGUUUCAGGGCCCUUGUAAAGAUGGUUUGUAUCCGCUUAAUCUAUCAAACGUCUCUACUUCUCCACAAGCCCUUGCUUCCAUUCACUCCUCCAUCUAGCACAAUCGUUUGGGUCAUCCAUCAUCAAAUGUCUUUGCACAUCUAAGUCCUAUAAUUAAUUCCAAAUUGUCUUUUCCUUCUUUUUGUCGAGACUGUGCACUUAGCAAGUCUCACCAAUUACCUUUUACUUUCACCAAAGAGACUACUAGCACUCCUUUUCAUAUUAUACAUAGUGAUGUUUGGUCCUCCUCUACCAUUUCUGUAAGUGGUUUCAAAUAUUAUGUUCUAUUUACUGAUGAAUUAUCACGUUACGCUUGGAUUUACCCUAUGCGUUGCAAAAAUGAAGUCCUCACUCAUUUUCAAACUUUAGUUGCCAAGAUUCAAAACAUCUUCCACUAAACCAUUCAAUUUCUUCAAAGUGAUAAUGGGACAGAAUAUGUCAAUAAUGCAUUUUCUCAUUAUUGUAAAUCCUUGGGAAUUCAACAAAGAUUUUCUUGCCCCCACACACCACAACAAAAUGGCCUUGCAGAACGUAAGCACCGCCAUAUUGCUACAAUGACUCGUAGUCUCCUUCUCACUUCUGGUACUCCACAUAAUCUUUGGGUUGAAGUUGUUUUAACCUCCAUUUACCUUAUUAAUCUUCUUCCCACACCCACUCUUCAUUGGGAUACUCCACAUACUCGUCUCUAUAGCAGUCCUCCUUCCUAUUCCUCUCUUCGAGUUUUUGGAUGUUCAUGUUUUCCUCAUCUUGGGUCUUAUGUCUCCGAUAAACUUUCAAGUCAUAGCAAUGAGUGUAUCUUUCUUGGUUACAAUUCUCAACACAAAGGUUAUUGUUGUCUAGAUCGAAACGACGUUAUGCUAAACUUUGUGAUAAGAAUAAUUGAUAGAGCUUCAAAAGCUUCAGCAGCUCUUGUGAAUACUUUUGAUGACUUAGAUCAUGAUGUUCUGGUUGCUCUCUCAUCUAUGUUUCCUCCGAUUUAUUCUGUUGGUCCUCUUAAUUUGCUUCUUGAUCAAACACGGAAUGAUGAUCUAGCAUCAAUUGGAUCCAGUCUGUGGAAAGAAGAGACUGAAUGCCUGCAUCUGUUGUCUACGUGAAUUUUGGAAGCAUCACCGUCAUGAAUCCACAGCAACUUGAGGAGUUUUCUUGGGGACUUGCUAACAGCAAGAAGAAUUUUUUAUGGAUAAUCAGGCCUGAUCUUGGCAGGGGCGAAUCAGCGGUUUUGCCUCCAGAGUUUCUUGAAGAGACUAGAGAGAGAGGCCUGAUGGCGAGCUGGUGUGCGCAGGAAAAAGUCCUGAAGCAUUCAUCGAUAGGAGGGUUUUUAAGUCACAUGGGGUGGAAUUCCACCAUUGAAAGCCUGUCCAACGGCGUGCCAACGCUAUGUUGGCCUUUCUUCUCCGAACAACAAACUAACUGUAAGUUUGCUUGCGUUGAUUGGGGUGUUGGAAUGGAAAUUGAAAGUGAUGCAAAUAGAGAUGAAGUGGAGAAGCUUGUGAUAGAGUUAAUUGAUGGGGAGAAAGGUAAGGAAAUGAAAAGGAAGGCAAUGGAAUGGAAGUCAAAGGCUGAAGCGACAACGGGUGUUAAUGGUUCAUCAUCCAUGAAUUUUGACAAACUUGUCAACGACGUGCUCCGCUUCCAAAAACCUUGAAUUACCUUCUUUUGAUGAAAUUGUUGUUACAUCUGCAGGUUGUCUGCCAGUAGCUUUUUUAUUGAUCAUCCAUUCGCAUUAGCAUGGAUGACGUUUUAUAUUUAAAUUGGCUUCUUGAAAAUGCUAUAAAAUAUCUCCCUUUUUUUAAUAAUAAAAAUGGGGGCUGAAGCCCAAAACUUAAGAAACUAUAAUUUACAAUUAUGUAUUGCAGGGCACUUUCCUUUUCCUUUUCUAUAUAUGAAAAUCCUCUCUCUCUUUUGUCAUUUUCAUUUUUAUGAUAUAAUAAUUAUGUAUUAUUGCAGGUCAAUUUCUCUAGAAGAAUUAGAUACAAAAUAAUUUUGGUAUAGUUUACUGGAUAUGGACCUGCCCUACUCACUCCUUCACGGAGCCAUAUUAUAACAAAUGCAAUUUAAAAAAAAAAAAAAGAAUUCAAUUUAAAAUAUCAAAAUCAAUUAAAAAAAAAGUAACCUUGGUCUAAAUCAACAUUAAUCAUAAAGUAUUUUAUAACUAAUCAUCGAUGCAUAUAUAUCAAUUUACACUUUGAAUAUUCAUCAUUAAAACUAUUUUAUUAUCUCUACUUAGUUGUAGUUAAUUAGAAAACAAGCAAUCUAAUUAAUCCUAACUACUAGACAAAUUAAAACAAGCACUAAAAUUUAAUAUAGUAGUAGCCUUAAAAAUUAAAGAAAUUGAUGAAGCUAACCAACAUAAGUCUAAGCAGUUACAUUUAAUUUAGUCAAAACCUCUUUCUAAAAUUUACUAAUUUCUAACGCAACAAACUAUUAAAUCUCAAUUCCUUUAUAAAUUAGAGAGAUCAAGCAAUUACAGAUUUAAUAUCUAACAUAGUAGUAGAUUGCAAUGAAUAAUAAACCAGAUGCCUCAUAGUAAUCAAACAUGACAAUCAUGAAAAAUAGGCAUCAAAGAACAUCCAAUACACAAAGCAUACAUUAAACAAUGAAAACAAAUUAGAUCUUACAAAUGUAUUGAUUCUAAGACUUCCAUUUCCUUCGACCAAGUCAAAUUUAGUUACACAAUACCAUCAUGAAUAUCAUAAAGAAGAGAAAGACAUUAGGGAAGAGGGAAGAGGAAGAUAAAAGAGAAAGGGGAGACAAAAUCCGACAUGAUCUCCCUUUUUCUCCUUUACAAUUUUUUUUUUCAUUUUAGAAGUCUAUAAAAUCUUCUAAAAAUACUAUAUAAUAAUAACCACCAAAUUUGAAUAUUCAAUUAAAUUAUUAAAUAAUAAAAUAGAGUCUUAAUAUAACAAUAAAAGUGAUGUUGUCAUCUAUAAUUCAUGUAUAAGUCUGGAAGCUUCGGAAAAAUUAAUCACAUCAUAUUAGAUUUGCAUGUAUAAGGAUGUUCCUGCACAUUAGCAACACAGGUGCAAUGUCUUUAUGCCAAAUUGCAAACUCGAUAUAGUUAGUAUCUCUCCAAACUCAAAACAUGAAAGUUGUAGAUCUAUUGCUUAGGGUUCCAUAGCAUUUUGGAUCAACUCAAUCAGGGCUUGGAUGAAAUAGUUAUACCCUAAUUAUGAAGUUGUGUUAAAACUGCCUAGAAUCACCCAAUUAACUCUGUUUUUCCAUUAAUGGCUCCAUUUAGACCCUAAAUCAGAAUAUAAAAAUAAUGAGUAUAUUUAGGCAUCAAAUAAUUAUAAAAUACUGCACAUUAACAGAGAAAAAUAUGAUAUUUGUAUUCUCAUCAAAUUCCCCCACAUUUAAGUUUUGUUCGUCCCUGAGGAAAACUUAAAUUCACUUUCCAUGAAAAAAAAAAUUAAAGGUUGCAAUGCCAUCAAUAAAGAAUAACCAAGCUCUUAAAAAAUAAUAAUCUAUCAUGAAUAAAAUAUUCUUAGACAACUUAUAAUUAUUAACAAGAAUUUUCAUUCUAAGAUAGAGUAAGCUAAUUAAGUAGACCUUUAUAGAAAUAAACACUCGACUUUCAUGUGUUUGAAAGGCAUGUGUUUCACUUAAAUUCAUUCUAAUGGAAAUCCUUUACCAUAGGCUUGCAUAUCUUCUUAUUCUCCACCACUAGGAUCCCAUGUAUAACUCAAAUCAUAAAGACUUUUUAAGGUUUGUAAGGAGGCUCAAGGAAUAAAAAUACAUCAACUCAAACUCGAAUAUAUAAGACAUGUAAAAUCAAUCACUCCAUUUAGUAGCUUUUUCAAUUUGACUUUAAAUAAUUUAAACUAUGUAAAGCUCCUGUAUUUAAAAAGAGAUUGUUAAAAAGAAACACAUUUUAUUUUCUUGCACCUUUGUAUAUAUCAUGUAUGAACAAACUCCUUUUUUGGAUUUUUAGGAGGAAUUAUGAACAUGAAUAGUUUAUAACAUUAACAACAAUUCCUCCAUCUUUUUUUUUUUAACUCAAUACAUCAACAACAUGAAUUGAGAAUGAAAAUAUGCUCCAUAGGCAUAGCCAUACCAUCAAUCUAGACACCCCCACAUUUAUUUCUUGAACACCCAUACAUAGCAUAAUAAUGAACAAUGCUCCACUAGCUUUAUGACUUGGGCAAUGGUAUUCUUUUUUUCAGGUUUGAAGCUUGUAAAAUGGUUUCCAAUAAAAAGCUUGAAAGGGUUCAACAAAGAAAAAAAUUAACUACCAGGUAGGCUAUUUGGCUUAUGUAGCUUAUAACAAAGAGGGCCUUAAUCAUGUUUAUGCUUACAUGUGUCAAUGUGAUCUUGAUGAGAAUCAUGACAAGUUCUACAGAAACAAAUCCAUUGAAGAACAUCUCACAUGAAAGAAAAUAAUGAGAUUGGUAUAACUAAAGGCUUAAAUUCUUAUCGGUUUCUGGUCUACCAAAUUUAGUCACAACCAUCCUCAAUGAAAAUAACUAGAAUAAUUAAUUCCAAGUUGGAAAAAUUAGUUGUUCAAAUCAUGUUAUGAUUUUUACAAGCUUACUUAAAUCUUGAUCAUGUCAUACAAAAUCAAAUUUCAUCGAAAACCACAAGAACCAAAAAAAGAAAGCAAAACUAUUUUUUUAAAUUGAAAACAAAACAUUCAAAAUAUAAUUAAAACACAACUAAAUCCCCUCCCCCACACUUAAAACUUAUAUUGUCCCAAAUGUAAGGUAAAAUGCAAAAGGCAAAACUAACCAAAAUACAAAUGAGAAAUGAAGAAGAAGAAGAAAAAAAAAAACAAACUCCUUUUGAGUUGCCUCCCAAUGAGGAUCUUUGUUUAUUGUUGUUAGCUCAACUUAAUGCUUCCUUCUUUAAUUAGUAUAAAUUGGAUCCUCAUUGUUCAAUGUUCUCACAUUCUCUACUUGGAAUCCUUCAUAACAAGCCUUAAGUCUAUGGCCAUUAACCUUGAAUGUUUUUAAAGUUAUUAAACUUUGAAUUUCAACUACAUUAUAAGAAAAAACAUUAGUAACAAUAAAAUAUCUAGUACAGUGAGAAUGUAACUUACCUAGAAACAAAUAAAAUCAUGAGUGGUAUCGAAGGACUUUUUGACCAAUUUUAAACUCUUUCCUAAAUAUUAUUUUGUCAUGAAAAGCUUUCGUCUUUUCCUUGUAAAUCCUUGUACUCUUACAUGCAUCAUUACAGAUUUCCUCUAACUAUAAUAGUUGCAACUUCUUAUGUUCUUCACUUUCGUCCAUCUUCUUGUUGAAACUCUUGACAACCUAAUAAGCCAUAUGUACUAACUCAACUAGAAGGUGACAUACUCAUUAGGUGUCUUAUAUGCAAUCCUAUACUCCUAUAAAGCAUUAUCCAAACAUAAACUCUAAUAUUUUCUACUUGGAUUGACCAUCUUUUCAAUUAUGGUUUCGAUCUCCUAAUUUGACACUUCAAUUUGAAAAAUAAAACCAAUAAAGAUUAAAUUAAAAAUGUCCUCAAAAAAAUUGCAAUUAAAAGAUCAUAGGGGUGAAAUCGAAAAUCAUUUGUAAUAUGAUUUAUUACUUUUAGAUUAAAAAAUUAAAGGGGGUGAAAUAUAAAAACAAUUAUUGAAAACAAACUAAAAUGUUUUAUCCAUUCCAAGAAAUCACUUUCCAUUAAACAAACGCCCCCUUAAUUUUAGAGGAUGAGAUCGCUAGAAAUAUAUUAAUAAAAAAACUUGCAAAAGCAACAAAAAAUCAAAAGAAUAAAAAUCAACUUUUAAAAAUAACAAAAAUCAUAGGGGUGAAAUUGAAAACAUAUAUAAAAGCCAAGCCAAGCAAACUCGGAGAAACAUCCUAAAUACAAUCAAAUCUUUAAAAACUUGCAACUUUUGAAAACUUGGAUCCAAAUCCUAUUAAAAUUUUUAUUAAUUGCGAAUUUUAAAAUAUAAAGUUAAAUAACUUGUCAAAGCCAAAACAAAUAAAAAAAAAAAACAUCGAGCAAACUCGACAGCCAACUUAAGCUAACAAACCCAAUACAUGUGACUUGAAUGACGCUAUAAACACAAAAACUUAAAAAAUACCAUUAACUUUUUUUAAAAAAAAAAUGUUGUAUAAAAGAUAAAAGUCAACUUGUGAUAAUCUUUUAAAUCUAUGAACCGGGUAAUGAGACCGGUGUGACCUCAUUAAAGGCAAAUCUAAAAAAGUAAAGAAGUCAAGUUCUUAACCAAACAAAUAUCGAGACAUGAAAUUGAAAAAGAAAUCAAUAAAAAACAACGAUGCAAAAAAAUAACAAUUAAAUUAAUUAGAACUAAAUUCGACAUAAAAAUCAAAUGAAAUUAAAUAUUCAUACAUGAAAUUCUAAAAAACCAGCCAUUUAAAAAAGUAAUUAGAAAAAAACAUGACCGAAUUUGACGCAAAAAAUAAAUGAAAAUAAAUGUUUAGGGAUAGAAUUGAAAAAACAAUCAAUUAAAAAAAUGAUUCAAAACAAAAUAAAUAAUAACUUAAAAAAUAAAUACUAAAUUCAAAAAACAAAUUCAAAAAUCAAAUAACUAGUAAUGAAAUCAAAUAUAAAAUUCAAUUAAAAAAAAUCAUCCUAUCCCGAAAAAAACCAAAGAUAAAUUAACUAAAAAACAAUAUAGGAUCAAUCGAAUAAUAAACUGUUUCUUAAAGCACUACAGUACCAGCGUGGGUUUUAGAUUUGUUAAUGGAAUCCAAGUCUGGGCACAUACGACUAGAAUUUAUUUCUUUUGAAAUUAUCGAGGUCAUGCAGUAGCUAGCGACAAUACUAGCCAGCUGUUAAAAUAACUUCCAGCGUCACAGGUUGGGCCUCGACUGACAAAGCUAGCCAGCUGCUGUCAGUGAAUUGAAACGACAACACGUUACCAGGAACGUCCUGGCAGGAAGUCCCAAAGAUGCAAAUAAAAUUUUAUUAAACAUAAAAAAAAUAACAAACUUAAAUAAUAUUCAUACAAAUUGAAUGUCUUUCCAAAACAAUAUUAAAUUAGCAAAAUGACAGAGGAGGAAGAGGAGCUUGUUAUUUUUUAAUGGAAUCCAUGUCUGGGUACAUACUACUAGAAUUUAAUUCUUUUGAAAUUAUACAGGUCAUGCAGUAGCUAGCGACAAAACUAGCCAGUGAGUGGCUGAAGGUCCACAACAACCAAUAAGAUAUCAGCACUGUCUUGUACGUUUGAAUAUAUAAUUCAACGACACAAACGAGUUUAUUAUAAAUUAUUUUUAAUUUUAAAAAUAAAAAAUAUAUUUUUUUUUAAAAAUAUUAUUUUUAUUAAACUACAAUGGUUAUAAUUCACUCUCGAAAGUGUAAUUAUAAUUAAUUUUUAAAGUAUUUUUUAUUAAUUAUUUAUAUUAGUAUAUUAAAAUGAUCUGAAAACACCAAUAAAUAUUAAUUUAAAAUAAAAAAAAUUAAAUUUAUUUAAAAAUAAUUUUACAAUAAAAAAUUAAAUAAGAUAUCAAUCACAAACCCUGACCAACACUAUUCUCUCUUCCAUCAAACGUCAGCAUAAUUUUGCCUUCACGAUUUUAUAAAUUAUCCACCUCAUGUUGUUAAAGGUUUGAUAUCGUGGAAUGUUACAGGCUACAAAUUUAUCCACCUUAUUCUCUUACGAAUAACAAUAAUUUACAAGCUCUUAUUUUAUUUUGUUUUAUUAUAUUAGAGUAACAAUAAGUUAUCCACCUUAUUUCGAGUGUUCUUCUAGUAUAUCCACCAGAAAACAAAUCACCGGCCAGGACAUAGGUAUUGGUGAGGAUGCCUCACCAUUUCCUUGAUUGCAUAAACUUGUAUGAUAAAUAACUCAGUGCAAUAUAAUUACCAUUACAAAAAAAUUUCAGUGUAAGAUUCAGAUUUCAUCAGUAAUUUUUUUAUCACUUACGGUUCCAUUUGUUUACUGGAAAAUAUUUUUUUUUUUAAAGUGAAUUUCGAGAAAGUAUUUUUUGAUAUUUGGUAGUGUAAUAAAAAAUCAGUUGGAAAUAUUUUCUAGUGUUUGGUUAUGUUAUGGAAAAUGAGCUGAAAAAUAACUUAUUAAUAUUUUAUUUUUCUCAAGUUUAUUAAAAUAAUGAGGAACAAAUCUUACAAAUUAAAAAGUUGAAUGAGAAUGAAAUUGAAAAAAAAUAUAUAAUUUCAUAAAUUAUCUCAAAUAAAAUAAAUAAUAAUCAAAAUAAUAGAGAUCAAAUUUAAAAAAUUAAAAAAAAAUGAAAGAUGAAGAAAUUAAAAUAAUAAUAAUCAAAAUUUCAUUAAUUAUUUCAAAUAAAAUAAGUAACAAUCAAAAGAAUGAGGACCAAAUUUGAUAAAUAAAAAAUUUCAAUAAAAAAAUGAUAAGGAAAAAGCAAAUAGCAAUUAUAAAAAUAAGGACCAUAGUUAAUAUAAAAAUAAAAUUUUAAGAGAUGAAAUUAAAAUAUAAAUAUUCAAAACAAAAUAUAUAUAGCAAUGAAAAGUUUGAGGAUUAAAUUUGAUAUAAUCAGCAAAUAAUGAUAUUUUUAAAUUUUUCACAACUUCCGGAAAGUGUUUUCCCCCCAAAAUUUUCAGUAAAACACUUUCCUGAAAACCAAGCCAAAUUUUCUUUAAAAUAAUUUCUUGAAAACUACUUUUCAAAAAACAAACAUCUCCUACGUUAUCUACAGAAAGAUUUCAUCGAUAUCCCCUUCAUAAGGGAUAUCAUAGUCCGUUGAUUUUGGACCAUAUAAGAAAUAAUCACAAUUCCUUGUAUAACUGGUGACCAAUAAAUUCAGUCUUCUAACUCAUAGAAGGUGUGAAAUACAAAAACUCAGUGAGAAACAUGGGAUCUCUUCCAAAGAGCACCAAGGCUCAUGCCGUGUGCGUCCCAUAUCCCGCUCAAGGUCACAUAGCUCCUAUGCUCAAAGUAGCAAAACUACUCCAUCACAAAGGCUUUCACAUCACCUUUGUCAACUCUGAAUACAAUCACAGACGUUUGCUCAAGUCCGGUGGCCGUAACUCCCUUGAUGUCUUGCCUGAUUUCCAGUUUGAAACCAUUCCAGAUGGUCUAGGUGAUCAGCUUGAUGCUAAUGUUACCCAAGACAUUUCAUUUCUCUGUGACUCUACCUCAAAGGCUUGCUUAGACCCAUUUCGCCAACUUCUUGCCAAACUCAAUUCAUCAAAUGUUGUCCCGCCUGUAACUUGCAUAGUAGCAUGUGGCAUGUCCUUCGCUCUGAUGUGAAGGAGGAACUUCAAAUCCCUGUCGUCUUUCUGGACUUCAAGUGCAUGUGGCACAUUGGCUAUGCACAUUACAAACAUCUUGUUGAAAGAGGUUACACACCACUCAAAGGUACGUACUCAUACAUUAUUACUAAUUUCAUACUAUCAUGAAUCUUUUCGAAGUAAAUUGUUCAUGUAACGUGUUUUUAUCUUUGAUAUCAAUGAUGCAGAAGAAAGCGAUAUGACAAAUGGAUAUUUGGAGACAAAAAUAGACUGGAUUCCUGGAAUGAAAGAUAUUCGUCUGAAGGACCUUCCGACCUUCAUUCGCACAACAGAUCGAAACGACGUUAUGCUAAACUUUGUGAUAAGAGUAAUUGAUAGAGCUUCAAAAGCUUCAGCUGCUCUUUUGAAUACUUUUGAUGACUUAGAUCAUGAUGUUCUGGUUGCUCUCUCAUCUAUGUUUCCUCCGAUUUAUUCUGUUGGUCCUCUUAAUUUGCUUCUUGAUCAAACACAGAAUGAUCAUCUAGCAUCAAUUGGAUCCAGUCUGUGGAAAGAAGAGACUGAAUGCCUGCAAUGGCUGGACUCCAAGGAUCCCAAUUCUGUUGUCUACGUGAAUUUUGGAAGCAUCACUGUCAUGAAUCCACAGCAACUUGAGGAGUUUUCUUGGGGACUAGCUAACAGCAAGAAGAAUUUUUUAUGGAUAAUCAGGCCUGAUCUUGUCAGGGGCGAAUCAGCGGUUUUGCCUCCAGAGUUUCUUGAAGAGACUAGAGAGAGAGGCCUGAUGGCGAGCUGGUGUGCGCAGGAAAAAGUCCUGAAGCAUUCAUCGAUAGGAGGGUUUUUAAGUCACAUGGGGUGGAAUUCCACCAUUGAAAGCUUGUCCAACGGCGUGCCAAUGCUAUGCUGGCCUUUCUUCUCCGAACAACAAACUAACUGUAAGUUUGCUUGCGUUGAUUGGGGUGUUGGCAUGGAAAUUGAAAGUGAUGCAAAUAGAGAUGAAGUGGAGAAGCUUGUGAUAGAGUUAAUUGAUGGGGAGAAAGGUAAGGAAAUGAAAAGGAAGGCAAUGGAAUGGAAGUCAAAGGCUGAAGCGACAACAGGUGUUAAUGGUUCAUCAUCCAUGAAUUUUGACAAACUUGUCGACGACGUGCUCCGGUUCCAAAAACCUUGAAUUAGCUUCUUUGAUGAAAUUGUUGUUACAUCUGCAGGUUGUCUGCCUUUAGCUUUUUUACAUUCUGUUACAUACUCCACUUUUCCAUUCAGCCAAUUGAAUACAGAGUUAUUAAACCCGGCCCGGGGGUUGACCCGGCCAAGGGGCCGGGUCUCGGGUUUCAUGGGUCAACCCGGGUUGACCCGGAUUAACCCGUAAUAAUUAAAAAAAAAUUAAUAUUUCAUAUGAAAAAAUUCAUGUAAAUAUAGAUUAUACAUAUUAUAAAUAAUGAAGUUUAAAAUAAUAUUU
rnacentral:lncRNA from 1 species